GCGGGUGGUGGUGGGCGCGGGGCACCUCCUGCCGAGGACGGGGGAGUCCGCCGCCGUCCGGGCCGGCGUGCGCGCC
rnacentral:tRNA from 1 species